rnacentral:rRNA from 1 species
AACGAACGCUGGCGGCAGGCCUAAUACAUGCAAGUCGAACGGGCGUAGCAAUACGUCAGUGGCGGACGGGUGAGUAACACGUGGGAACAUGCCUUUCGGUUCGGAAUAACGCAGGGAAACUUGCGCUAAUACCGGAUGACCCGGCGACGGAAAAGAUUUAUCGCCGAAAGAUUGGCCCGCGUAGGAUUAGCUAGUUGGUGAGGUAACGGCCCACCAAGGCGACGAUCCUUAGCUGGUUUGAGAGAACGAUCAGCCACACUGGGACUGAGACACGGCCCAGACUCCUACGGGAGGCAGCAGUAGGGAAUCUUGGACAAUGGGGGAAACCCUGAUCCAGCCAUGCCGCGUGAGUGAUGAAGGCCUUCGGUU